AUGCAAGUCGAGCGGAAACGAGUUAUCUGAACCUUCGGGGGACGAUAACGGCGUCGAGCGGCGGACGGGUGAGUAAUGCCUAGGAAAUUGCCCUGAUGUGGGGGAUAACCAUUGGAAACGAUGGCUAAUACCGCAUAAUGCCUACGGGCCAAAGAGGGGGACCUUCGGGCCUCUCGCGUCAGGAUAUGCCUAGGUGGGAUUAGCUAGUUGGUGAGGUAAUGGCUCACCAAGGCGACGAUCCCUAGCUGGUCUGAGAGGAUGAUCAGCCCACACUGGAACUGAGACACGGUCCCAGACUCCUACGGGAGGCAGCAGUGGGGAAUAUUGCACAAUGGGCGCAAGCCUGAUGCAGCCAUGCCGCGUGUGUGAAGAAGGCCUUCGGGUUGUAAAGCACUUUCAGUCGUGAGGAAGGUAGUGUAGUUAAUAGCUGCAUUAUUUGACGUUAGCGACAGAAGAAGCACCGGCUAACUCCGUGCCAGCAGCCGCGGUAAUACGGAGGGUGCGAGCGUUAAUCGGAAUUACUGGGCGUAAAGCGCAUGCAGGUGGUUUGUUAAGUCAGAUGUGAAAGCCCGGGGCUCAACCUCGGAAUAGCAUUUGAAACUGGCAGACUAGAGUACUGUAGAGGGGGGUAGAAUUUCAGGUGUAGCGGUGAAAUGCGUAGAGAUCUGAAGGAAUACCGGUGGCGAAGGCGGCCCCCUGGACAGAUACUGACACUCAGAUGCGAAAGCGUGGGGAGCAAACAGGAUUAGAUACCCUGGUAGUCCACGCCGUAAACGAUGUCUACUUGGAGGUUGUGGCCUUGAGCCGUGGCUUUCGGAGCUAACGCGUUAAGUAGACCGCCUGGGGAGUACGGUCGCAAGAUUAAAACUCAAAUGAAUUGACGGGGGCCCGCACAAGCGGUGGAGCAUGUGGUUUAAUUCGAUGCAACGCGAAGAACCUUACCUACUCUUGACAUCCAGAGAACUUUCCAGAGAUGGAUUGGUGCCUUCGGGAACUCUGAGACAGGUGCUGCAUGGCUGUCGUCAGCUCGUGUUGUGAAAUGUUGGGUUAAGUCCCGCAACGAGCGCAACCCUUAUCCUUGUUUGCCAGCGAGUAAUGUCGGGAACUCCAGGGAGACUGCCGGUGAUAAACCGGAGGAAGGUGGGGACGACGUCAAGUCAUCAUGGCCCUUACGAGUAGGGCUACACACGUGCUACAAUGGCGCAUACAGAGGGCAGCAAGCUAGCGAUAGUGAGCGAAUCCCAAAAAGUGCGUCGUAGUCCGGAUUGGAGUCUGCAACUCGACUCCAUGAAGUCGGAAUCGCUAGUAAUCGUGGAUCAGAAUGCCACGGUGAAUACGUUCCCGGGCCUUGUACACACCGCCCGUCACACCAUGGGAGUGGGCUGCAAAAGAAGUAGGUAGUUUAACCUUCGGGAGGACGCU
rnacentral:rRNA from 1 species